GAUGAACGCUGGCGGCGUGCCUAAUACAUGCAAGUCGAGCGAACAGACGCUGCGCUUGCUCCUCUGACGUUAGCGGCGGACGGGUGAGUAACACGUGUAUCCCCUCCCUAUAUUUCUGGUAUAUUCUGGGGAAUCGGGCGCUAAUCCGGGAUAAGCUCUUGAUCCGCGGGGUUGAUUGGUGAAUUUCGGUUUUUCUGUCACUUAUCGCGGGUUCUCCACCGCAUGGGCUGGUUGGGAAGGUAACGGCUUACCACGGCAACGAGGGGUAGACGACCUGCGAGGGGGAUCGGCGGCACGGGAAGUGGAACAGGGUCAAGACUACUACGGGAGGCAGCAGUAGGGAAUCUUCCGCAAUGGGCGAAAGCAUGACGGAGCAACGCGGCGUGAGUGAUGAAGGUGUUCGGAUCGUAAAACUGUGUUAUGAGGGAAGAACAAAUGUGUAAGUAACUAUGCACGUCGUGACGGUACCUAAUAAGAAAGCCACGGCUAACUACGUG
rnacentral:rRNA from 1 species